UCUUGUCUUUCCUUUCCCUUCUAUUUUUAUUUGAUUUGAAGUAUCCUUAACUAUUUCCCCCAACAUCUACUGACCUUAUAUAGGCUAGAAACUUUCUGAAGCAGACAAAGAAUUGGUAAGUUCAAGAGGAUUCUUACCAGUUCAUAUACUAAUUCUCCAGCGUCUUAUUCAUCUUGUAUCUUGUUUCGAAAAAUAUUGUCUCGUACUUUACUUAAUCAUCUUCAUGAGCUAAACUUACUUACCUGUGGAGGAAUCUUUGCAUAUUAUGUACCUGCUGAGGUUUUUGUUAAUUGUUUCAUUACAAAAUUUCCUGGCAUUCUAAGUUUUUUCUUAUUGGGUGCACAGUCUGAUGUGAAUACUGUGUGUUUUGCUGAUGAAAGUGGCCAUCUGGUUUACUCUGGAAGUGAUGAUACUUUCUGUAAGGUGUGGGACAGACGCUGCUUUAUAUCUAAAGGGAAGGCUGCAGGGAUUCUAGAAGGACAUGUCGAAGGUAUCACGUUCAUUGAUAGUCGUGGGGAUGGUCGAUAUUUAAUUUCCAAUG